AUGCCACAAAGCCCCAGCCAGGGCUUUUUUUUAAAAAAAAAACACCCCAAAACUCGGGAGUUUGCUUUAGUGAGACACAAAGGUUGGGAAGGGAGCACCCCAAAAGCGAUUGCCCUUUCUCGGCACCUUGCUGCUCCGUGCCCAAGAAGCGUGCCCCUGGCUCGUGUCCCAGACAGGACGGGGGAGCUGCACUGUGCACCCCUACGAGCCCGGACCCAUCUGAUGGGGACAGUCCCCAGCUGCCACCUUGUCUCAUUUGGAGGCCCCCAGGCUCCCACUGCCUCCCCUACCCCAAUUUUUCAAGCCUCCAGGUGUCCUGCUGUGGGGACAUCACUGCUGUGGUGUGAAUCCGAGCUGGGGAGAGCGGACGGCCCACGGUACGGAGCUGUCGGGGGGCUCCAAAUUUCCCCCAGGAGCUGCAGCCCCAGCUGGGCGCACAGAACCCAGCCCACCCACCCGCCCUGCACCGCAGCACGGCCGCUCUCCGGGUUUAUCUGCGUCCCAUCUUUCUCCUCCCGUAACUUCCAGGCAUCCGCACGGUCACGGGGCCGCUCUGUCAAUGAUUACCGGCACCACUGCGGCCCACGGGGGCUGGGGGCAGCCAGCCCUGCAAGCAGAACACCAGAAGGGCUUGUGGGGUCACCCAUGGCAUGGCCACAAUCACCCCACACCUCACAGCUGGGCAGGAGCCCGGCGCUUUGGGCAGGGGACCCCGCAGGGGGUGUCCCCCGGGGUGCUCUCCACGUGCUGCCGGGGAUGGAGCGGCUCAGCCUGCGGCGUGCAGAAUUUUGCACGAGGCCUCGCUGCGCAAAAUCCACUCUGCAAAGCGAUUUCCCAACCCAUGGGCCAGCGAAACCGGGUAACCGGGGCGGCCUGGUGCCACCAACGAUGGGCACGGCGCCGUCACCGCCUGCGCCGCCCCGCCUGGCACACCCCAGUCCCCGUGUCCCGUCCUGUCCCACGCCGCCCGGCACAUGCAAACGCCGUCUCCCCGUGUCGCACCAGCCCCACACACGCACGUCCCACGCGUCCCAUGGGCCCGGGUACGUGGCACACGCUGUCCCCACGCCUCUGCGUCAUCCCGGCACGCGGCCGGCUCCUCUUGCGCCGUGCCCCCCCGGCGUCAUCCCACUACACCCCUAUAUUUGCCGCUGA
rnacentral:lncRNA from 1 species